rnacentral:rRNA from 1 species
AGCGAACGCUGGCGGCAGGCCUAACACAUGCAAGUCGAGCGCCCGUAGCAAUACGGGAGCGGCAGACGGGUGAGUAACACGUGGGAACGUACCCUUCGGUUCGGAAUAACCCAGGGAAACUUGGAUUAAUACCGGAUACGUCCGUAAGGAGAAAGAUUUAUCGCCGAAGGAUCGGCCCGCGUCCGAUUAGCUUGUUGGUGGGGUAAUGGCCCACCAAGGCUACGAUCGGUAGCUGGUCUGAGAGGAUGAUCAGCCACACUGGGACUGAGACACGGCCCAGACUCCUACGGGAGGCAGCAGUGGGGAAUAUUGGACAAUGGGCGCAAGCCUGAUCCAGCCAUGCCGCGUGGGUGAUGAAGGCCCUAGGGUUGUAAAGCCCUUUCGGCGGGGAAGAUAAUGACGGUACCCGCAGAAGAAGCCCCGGCUAACUUCGUGCCAGCAGCCGCAGUAAUAC